GACGACGCUGGCGGCGUGGAUUAGGCAUGCAAGUCGAACGGUAUCAUCCUUUCGGGGGUGAGAGAGUGGCGAACUGGUGAGUAACACGUAGGUUAUCUACCCUCAAGACGGGGACAACCCAGGGAAACUUGGGCUAAUACCGGAUGUGAGCAACUUUUAGUUGUUUGAAAGGUGGCGUAAGUUGUCGCUUGGGGAUGAGCCUGCGUCCUAUUAGUUAGUUGGUGAGGUAACGGCUCACCUAGGCAAUGAUAGGUAGGCGGCCUUAACGGGUGGUCGCCCACACUGGGAUUGAGAUACGGCCCAGACUCCUACGGGAGGCAGCAGUCGAGAAUAGUCUACAAUGGUCGGAAGACUGAUAGUGCGACGCCGCGUGAACGAUGAAUCCCUUCGGGGUGUAAAGUUCUUUUAUAUGUGAGCAGUGCUUCUUAUAUUAACAGUAUGGGGAGAGAGAUAUUAGCAUAUGAAUAAGCAACGGCUAACUCCGUG
rnacentral:rRNA from 1 species